rnacentral:misc_RNA from 1 species
UCCUCCUCGUCGCCGAGCUCG